rnacentral:rRNA from 1 species
GCUAAGCCAUAUUUAGUGUUUCUGAUUUGAUGGAAAAACCAGUUGCAAAUCAAAGCAUUAGGAUUUGGAUUUGGAAAAGAGGGGAGGGAGGAGCUCAGCUUGCCUGGCGAUGGAUGAUCUGGACGAGGCACAUCGUCGCCUUCCUGCCGCAGAAGCGGAAGCAGACGGCGCCUCCUCGCGGCUGCACAACCUCCCUGCCGUACCCACCAACUCGCCGGCGCUGCACCUGCCGUUAGGCCCUCAGCGACGAACUCCUGCCGCGACCUUCGGACCGGGGCGCCGCUCUGCGUCUCCCACCCGCGGCUGCCUCGCACUUGCCCCCCACGCCUCCGACCAGCGCUUCCCCUUCCGCCGCCUGCGGCGUUGAAGUCGCCAUCUCCAUCCAUGGCCCGGGCCUUGGGUGGCUGGAGAUCCACCGGAGGGAGAAACAAGGGGGAAAGUGGAUGGAGUUGUGUACUUGAGACUUGAGAGUGCCUCAGCACAAACUAGAACAUGUACAUCGAGAAGGAGGAGUCAUCCUGCCGUAAGC